GGUCCCAGGGAAGCCAAGUGCGUUUGGAAUGGUAUUCCCAUCUUGCACUUUGGGGACCCCCUCUGUGGUUCUGAGAGGAGGAAACAGCUCUAACCUUGGUGAUCUCGACUGUGCUGGGCCCUGGGUUGUGAGGCAAACGGAGUGCAGAGGCCCUGGGGGAGGACGCGUCCCUCGCCACAGUCACUGUCCAGUGCAGUGGUCAGGGGAUUUCCCAGGGUGCAUUGGGCCAAGGGGCCAGACUCUGAAGUCCGCGGGGUUGAGGUCUCCACGCCAACCAGGUGACGGCAGCCUCCUUGCCGCGCCCAGACAAGAAAGCCUCGAUCUAAUCUCACUCUGAACUUUUCCCAAGGCUUUUGCUGCGCUUUGCUGUAGCUCCAAAGCUGCAUUAGUGAGCGCCGGGCUCCUUUAUAAAUGGUCUGUGACCCCAGAGGUCUGCUCGCCGAUGGAGCUGUCUAUUUUAGGGAUUGUGGGUGGAGGGGGCAUCUCAGAGGCUUCUGGAAAAUUCCUGACGGGAUUGUGUCUGUGUCCUGUCUCAACCCUCCAAUCAACAGAUCAGACAGCUUGUGCCCACAGGCCAAGGACGCGUGGGAAGAGACUCAAUCUUCUAGAUGGGUGGUAGCAGCCACGGCCUUCUGUCCUCUGGGUCCCCGCAAGCCUGGAUGAACUCAAGAUCUGACUCAGUGGCACAGUGAGGGGACCUUCGAGGCCUCCGUGACCAUCCUUGGACUUCACCUCUCAUGACUUUCAGGCAGAGAGGCCCUCCCACGCCCACAAUAGGCCGAGCCCAGCCUUCCUCGGAUUUGCCUCCAGGCCUGACGUUUACUUCCCUUUCUAAGUGUGGGGGUCAGGAGGCGGCAGACCCAAAGACCUCUUCUUACCACCUUGUCUUUUCCAUGGAGGUUCCCACGCAACGCUUGUCCCUGUCCCUGAGAUUUCAGACCUUUCCACAGCGCAAAGCCUCCUGCCUUGAGACUACUGCAGUGAGCAAGGUGAACCCCAUCCCCAAGCUAUGGCAAGAAUGCUGGCCUCUUCCGUCGCUCCUAAGUUCCAGGCUGAACUCUUCCUUCAACUCAACAGAUCCAAAAUGAAACCGGCGUCUUUAGCUCACCCUCGUCCCCCGCUGCCCCUGCCAGGGUCUUGGCCACCCUGAUCCAGGCCCCCGGUCACACCUCCAGGCCUGGCAAUAAUAUUACCUGGACUCCUUGAAGACUGCAACCAGAUUAAUCAUCCCGGAGCUCUGCUUUGAUAAUAUCACUUUUAUAGACACAUAAAAAGAAGCAUCGAGGCAGCCAGUCAUGCUAAAUCUUAACCAUCUUUACAGAAUUUUUAGUGCAGCCCAUCAAAAUUGUCACCAGCCCUGAAGGUUCCACGUUUAUGGUGUCCAUGAUAACACCUCUAUGCUGGAGGCAGCAGCACUUGGAGAUGGUGCAGAGCUGGCACUGCAGGAGCUGUCCUCGCCAGGCCUGAUCUCACAGCCAGGCCUGCUUCUCCUGGUUCCGCACAGAGCCCAUGGUCACCUCCUGCGUCUCCCACCCCAGAGGCGUAAGUGAGCAGUCUCUGGGUACCACCGGCACUCCUCUGCGAGGUGACAGAUGACAGCUUUAAAGACGUUGGGCCGUUGGGCAUCACCUUUUCAGUGGCUGGGUGCGAGGGGCCUGCGAGUCCUUGGCAGGGGCUGGCGUGGGCAGGCUGGUCGGCUUCAGCAGCGGCUGUGGGCCAAACGGCUUGGGAGCAGUUGUGCCGAGCAGGGACUGGACCGGAGGGGAACAGGAAGUGGGACCAACAGUUUUGAUUGGGGGCUGCGUUAUAGGUGGUUGUUUUCUGUGAAAGCCCCAUUGAUGUCACAGUGACGUGUGGUAAUAACAAAAAAGACAACACUUGUAAAGACACAGAGGCAGUGAGGAAUAGAAACAAUUUGGUGAGCUUUGUGGAGCUGGACUCCCUGAGUUCAAAACCCAGCUUCAACACUGACUGGCUGUGUGACCGCCCGACCUCGUCUCCAUCUGCCCGGGAGGCCGUCCCUGACUGCCUCAGUGUGCUGUCGGCUCAGUGUCUCCUGGUCUCCCAGGACUGACCUGCUGGGCCGUGUACUCGGGGUUCUGUGCAUGGCUUCUGGGGCUGUGUAUACAGUGACGAGCACAGCACGUGUUUCCCCAACUAGUUUGUAAUCUCUGAGCGCACAGACUUGAUUUAAAUUUCUUCCGGACCCUGCGGUGCUCUGGGAAUGCUGUCUAAUUGUUGCGACUUUACUCCUGUGGCCUGUGCUAGCUGCCCGGUUGGCAGUUGGGACUGAAGGAUGCUCAUCCACUUGCCUGACCACAAGCCUGGCACCAGCCCUGCCUUUGUUCUCCCACGAGUCCCCUUGAAGGUGACCCAUUCGUGGUGGGAGGUGUAGAGUCCAGCAGGGCUCUUGCACCUUUUGCCCUCCUGAGUCCUGGAGGAAGAGCUCGUUUCCUCAUCCGUACAGAGGGAAAAACAAAUGAGCAGUUACCUUGGGCAGAGUCCACAGUCCAGCCUGCUUGGCUGCCGGGGGGAGGUGCCAACUGCAGAAGGCAUGGGUCCUUCCAGGUGUGGACUCGGCCCCUGGGCACUGCGAUCUGUGGCCUCCUUACCGAUGGUGAGGAGUGGAGAAGAGUCUCUCUGCUGUGCAUGGCAGCCUCAGCCCACACAGGAUGCUGGCAUUUCCGUGCUAUUAAAUAAUUAACUUGGUACUACGUGGAGUAAAACACACAUUGGUCUGGUAAAA